rnacentral:rRNA from 1 species
AAGUGGUAGGAGAGCGGUCUAUGUGCGUCGAAGGUAUACCGGUAAGGAGGGCUGGAGCGAAUAGAAGUGAGCAGGCAGGCAUGAGUAGCGAUAAUUAAUGUGAGAAUCAUUAACGCCGUAAACCCAAGGUGUCCUACGCGAUGCUCGUCAUCGUAGGGUUAGUCGGGUCCUAAGUCGAGUCCGAAAGGGGUAGACGAUGGCAUAUUGGUUAAUAUUCCAAUACCAACAUUAGUGUGC